GAUGAACGCUAGCGGCGUGCCUAACACAUGCAAGUCGAACGUGAGAAAGACUUCGGUCUUUUGAAAGUGGCGGACGGGUGAGUAAGACGUAGGUGACCUGCCUUGAAGUGGGGGAUAACCAUUGGAAACGAUGGCUAAUACCGCAUAAGCUGGUGACGAUGGGAAUCGUUAUCAGGAAAGCUUUAGUGCUUUGAGAGGGGCCUACGGCCGAUUAGCUAGUUGGUGAGGUAAAGGCUCACCAAGGCGAUGAUCGGUAGCUGGUCUGAGAGGACGAUCAGCCACACGGGAACUGAGACACGGUCCCGACUCCUACGGGGGGCAGCAGUGAGGAAUAUUCGGCAAUGGGGGGGAACCCUGACCGAGCAACGCCGCGUGGAGGAUGACGGUUUUCGGAUUGUAAACUCCUUUUCUCAGGGAAGAGCGAGGACGGUACCUGGGGAAUAAGUCACGGCUAACUACGUGCCAGCAGCCGCGGUAAGGCACGACUGU
rnacentral:rRNA from 1 species